rnacentral:rRNA from 1 species
GACGGUUAACGGGGAAUUAGGGUUUGAUUCCGGAGAGGGAGCCUGAGAAACGGCUACCACAUCUAAGGAAGGCAGCAGGCGCGCAAAUUACCCAAUUCUAACAGAAUAAGGGAGGUAGUGACAAGAAAUAACAAUACAAGGCAAUAAAAUUGUUUUGUAAUUGGAAUGAUAGAAAUUUAAACACUUUCUAAAGUAUCAAUUGGAGGGCAAGUCUGGUGCCAGCAGCCGCGGUAAUUCCAGCUCCAAUAGCGUAUAUUAAAGUUGUUGCAGUUAAAAAGCUCGUAGUUGGAUUUCUGCUAAAAUUAACUGGUCUGCUUUUUGUAAAAGUAGCAUCUUGGUAUGUUUUUAGCAUUUAUGUCCUAAGAAAUGUUUUUUGCUUGAUUGUAACAAACAAUAAUUAGGAUUUUUACUUUGAGAAAAUUAGAGUGUUUCAAGCAGGCUUACGCUUUGAAUACUGCAGCAUGGAAUAAUAAAAUAGGAUUUUGGUUCUACAUUAUUGGUUUUAAGAGCUAAAUUAAUAAUUAAUAAAGACAGUUGGGGGCAUUUGUAUUUAA